AUGGCUGGGAUCACCACCAUCGAGGCAGUGAAGUGCAAGAUCUAGGUUCUGCAACAACAGGCUGAUGAUGCAGAGGAGAGAGCCAAGCCCCUCCAGCAGGAAGUGAAGGGAGAAAGGCGGGCCUGGGAACAGGCUGAGGCUGAGGUGGCCUCCUUGAACUGUAGGAUCCAGCUGGUUGAAGAGGAGCUGGAUCGUGCCCAGGAGCUCCUGGCCACUGCCCUGUAAAAGCUGGAGGAAGCGGAAAAAGCUGCUGAUGAGAGUCAAAGAGGUAUGAAGGUGAUUGAAAACCGGGCCUUAAAAGGUGAAAAAAAGAUGGAACUCCAGGAAAUCCAACUCAAAGAAGCUAAACAUAUUGCAGAAGAGGCAGAUAGGAAGUAUGAAGAGACGGCUCGUAAGUUAGUGAUUAUUGAAGGAGACUUGGAACUCACAGAGGAACGAGCUGAGCUGGCAGAGUCCCGUUGCCAAGAGAUGGAUGAGCAGAUCAGACUGAUGGACCAGAACCUGAAGUGUCUGAGCGCUGCUGAAGAAAAGUAUUCUCAAAAAGAAGACAAACAUGAGGAAGAGAUAAAGAUUCUUACUGAUAAACUCAGGGAGGCAGAGACCCGUGCUGAGUUUGCUGAGAGAUCGGUAGCCAAGCUGGAAAAGACAAUUGAUGAUUUGGAAGAUAAACUGAAAUGUACCAAAGAGGAGCACCCCUGUACACAAAGGAUGCUGGACCAGACUCUGCUUGACCUGAAUGAGAUGUAGAGCUUCUCCCUCUGACUCUGCCCGAAGCUGACCUUUAAACUGAGGGCUGAUCUUUAACUGGAAGGCUGCUUUCUACUUUUGCCAUCCCCC